AUACGGAGGGUGCAAGCGUUAAUCGGAAUUACUGGGCGUAAAGCGCACGCAGGCGGUUUGUUAAGUCAGAUGUGAAAUCCCCGGGCUCAACCUGGGAACUGCAUCUGAUACUGGCAAGCUUGAGUCUCGUAGAGGGGGGUAGAAUUCCAGGUGUAGCGGUGAAAUGCGUAGAGAUCUGGAGGAAUACCGGUGGCGAAGGCGGCCCCCUGGACGAAGACUGACGCUCAGGUGCGAAAGCGUUGGGAGCAACCAGGAUUAGAUACCCUGGUAGUCCACUUCGUAAACUAUUUCGACUUGGAGGUUGUGCCCUUGAGGCGUGGCUUCCGGAGCUAACGCGUUAAGUCGACCGCCUGGGGAGUACGGCCGCAAGACGAAAACUCAAAUGAAUUGGCUGGG
rnacentral:rRNA from 1 species